GACGAACGCUGGCGGCGUGCUUAACACAUGCAAGUCGAACGGAAAGGCCCUGCUUUUGUGGGGUGCUCGAGUGGCGAACGGGUGAGUAACACGUGAGCAACCUGCCCUUGACUUUGGGAUAACUUCAGGAAACUGGGGCUAAUACCGGAUAGGAGCUCCUGCUGCAUGGUGGGGGUUGGAAAGUUUCGGCGGUUGGGGAUGGACUCGCGGCUUAUCAGCUUGUUGGUGGGGUAGUGGCUUACCAAGGCUUUGACGGGUAGCCGGCCUGAGAGGGUGACCGGCCACAUUGGGACUGAGGUACGGCCCAGACUCCUACGGGAGGCAGCAGUGGGGAAUAUUGCACAAUGGGCGGAAGCCUGAUGCAGCAACGCCGCGUGCGGGAUGACGGCCUUCGGGUUGUAAACCGCUUUCGCCUGUGACGAAGCGUGAGUGACGGUAAUGGGUAAAGAAGCACCGGCUAACUACGUG
rnacentral:rRNA from 1 species